rnacentral:rRNA from 1 species
GCUUGCUUCUCUGAUGUUAGCGGCGGACGGGUGAGUAACACGUGGAUAACCUACCUAUAAGACUGGGAUAACUUCGGGAAACCGGAGCUAAUACCGGAUAAUAUUUUGAACCGCAUGGGUCAAAAGUAAAAGACGGUCUUGCUGUCACUUAUAGAUGGAUCCGCGCUGCAUUAGCUAGUUGGUAAGGUAACGGCUUACCAAGGCAACGAUGCAUAGCCGACCUGAGAGGGUGAUCGGCCACACUGG